AUUUCUUUUAACAUAUCAAGAAGUCAAAUUGGCAGUGAAGAAAGAAGUAGGAAGUCGAAAGUCAUCAUUGCCUAUAACCAAAACCCAAAAACCCAUACCAUGUUUUUUUCUUCACCACCAAUUCGACUUCUUGAUAUGUUAAAAGUAAU
rfam:Gossypium hirsutum cultivar TM-1 chromosome 4, whole genome shotgun sequence